UACAGAGGGUGCAAGCGUUGUCCGGAAUCAUUGGGCGUAAAGAGCGUGUAGGCGGCCCGAUAAGUCCGACUGUGAAAGUCCAGGGCUCAACCCUGGGAUGCCGGUGGAUACUGUCGGGCUCGAGUCCGGAAGAGGAGUGUGGAAUUCCGUGGAUGUAGCGGUGAAAUGCGCAAGAUAUCAGGAGGAACAGCCAAUGGCGAAGGCAGCACUCUGGGACGUGACUGACGCUGAGACGCGAAAGCGUGGGGAGCAAACAGG
rnacentral:rRNA from 1 species